rnacentral:lncRNA from 1 species
ACCCUCGGCCCCCCACGGCGGUUGGUCCCGGCGGGGGAAGGAGAAAGUGAGACUCGGUGUCAUCACCAAUCCGUCGCCAGAAGGGGAGGAAACUGGAAUCCAGCAGCGGCGAGCAGCAGCUGGGCGGUCACAUCUGGAAAUGGAAAGCCGACCUCCCCCUCCUCCUCCACCUCUUCCUCCUCCUCCUCCUCCUCCUCUCACCCAGGAUCACUUCCGAAACCACUUGGCCUUCAGCCCCUGCCUCGGCCAGAGGUUUCAUUUUUAACUGAAUAUUUACGAAAGCUGAAAGCGUGCGAGGGGGGUGGGGUGGAAAUAGCGGCUGCUUCUUUUCCAAGGAUUUAUUUAAUGGGGAUGUGUUCAAGGCAAGACCGAAUUCAGAAGGAUAUCGACGUCGUGAUCCAGAAGUCCAGAGCUGAGGACUGCCUGUUUGCAGAAAUCACAGAGAUCAGCAACUCUAGAGUGCGAUGAAGAAGCUUCACUCUGGGAGAACCCCCUUCGUGACCACGGUCUCUUUCCUGCCAGGGCACCGGCAACAGUUUUCCGUUUGUGCCUACUCCACCUGCUGUCUUUGUUGGGUCAGCGAACAUCGCCUCCCUCUACCGCUCAAUCAGCAAAAGGGACCGCCCUUGAGGACCUCACCCGCGGCUCACUCCCCUCCCAACUUCGCGGGCAUCGCCUCCGGUCGCCUCUUCCGAAGGCCUAACGAGCAUGUUAGCUGCGAACGGAGGUGAGGAGGCUCCGCUGACUGACCGGUGCCCAUGUCCAGGGCACGCACAAACGCCAUGACUUGGCUUGGCCUCUCUCUUAGUUAUUCACAAGCUCAGCCCGAUAGGCACCUCUGGGGCGGCGACGGCAAAGAGGGUGCGCUUAUUAAGUGCAGCUCCACGGGGACUGGCCUCUGCACGGCUGUGUACACCUGAGCGAGACGCUCAGUCGCUCUCUAAAGCCGCUUCUGCGGAUGACAGACACGGAGAUAAACGUGAGAGGUGGCCCACCACGACUUGCCCUCCUUUGCCCGGGUUUGCCCCUCGCUGCGGAGGCUGUUCUACAUCUGGCCCUUGGAGCAGGCCGGCUGACAGCGUGGUAAAGGAAGAUUUCUGCGGGAGGGCGGCCAGUGCAAAACAAUUCCCUGACCGGGAAUCGAACCCGGGCCGUGGCGCUUUCAGCACCGAAUCCUAGCCACUAGACAACCAUGCAGAUGCGG